rnacentral:rRNA from 1 species
GACAGAGGGGGCAAGCGUUGCUCGGAAUUACUGGGCGUAAAGGGCGCGUAGGCGGGAUGGCAAGUCGGUCGUGAAAUACCUCGGCUCAACUGAGGAGCGUCGAUCGAAACUGCCGUUCUUGAGGGUUGCAGAGGAGACUGGAAUUCCCGGUGUAGCGGUGAAAUGUGUAGAGAUCGGGAGGAACACCGGUGGCGAAGGCGGGUCUCUGGGCAAUUCCUGACGCUGAGGCACGAAGGUCAGGGGAGCAAACGGG